rnacentral:tRNA from 1 species
GCAGUGGCAGUUCAGUGGUAGAAUUCUCGCCUCCCAUGAGGGAGACCGGGGUUCAAUUCCUGGCCAAUGCG